UUGUCUUUUAAAUGANGANNNNUAUGAAUGGCACGACGAGGGCCUAGCUGUCUCCUUUUUCAGGUCAAUGAAAUUGAUCUUCCCGUGCAGAAGCGGGAAUAAUCACAUAAGACGAGAAGACCCUAUGGAGCUUCAGACACAAGGCAGCCCACGUUAAUAACUUUCAAACAAGAAAGAAAACUAAGUGGCGCCCUGCCAGAAUGUCUUUGGUUGGGGCGACCGCGGGGAAAAACAAAACCCCCAUGUGGAAAAGGAGGACACCUCCUACAACCCAGAGCCACUGCUCGAAGUAACAGAACUUCUGACCAAAAUGAUCCGGCAACGCCGAUCAACGGACCGAGUUACCCUAGGGAUAACAGCGCAAUCCUCUUCCAGAGCCCA
rnacentral:rRNA from 1 species